rnacentral:ncRNA from 1 species
AUUUUUCGCCUGUUUAUUAAAAACAUGUCUUUUUGAUAAUAAUAUAAAGUCUGACCUGCCCAAUGAAUUUUUGAAUGGCUGCGGUAUUUUGACCGUACAAAGGUAGCAUAAUAAUUAGUUUUUUAAUUGAAAGCUGGAAUGAACGGUUGGACGAGAAAAU